GGCGAAGCCUGAUCCAGCCACGCCGCGUGUGUGAAGAAGGCCUGCGGGUUGUAAAGCACUUUUAGUGGGGAUGAAAAGGUCAGGGCUAAUACCCCUGGCUCUUGACCUAACCCACAGAAAAAGCACCGGCUAACUCUGUGCCAGCAGCCGCGGUAAUACAA
rnacentral:rRNA from 1 species